rnacentral:rRNA from 1 species
AUGGGCUGCUGGAGCCUCAGGCAUCUUCCUGUCGUCGAACGCAACACCAACCCGACCAAGGUGGGUUGUGAGAAGGAAUGGUGGAACAACCUAAAGUGGAGCGGGUUGGAGGAGAACCACCAUCCUUCCCUCUACAAGCCAAGCGACUCACUGUACUACAAGGCCUAG